AUUUUUUCCAACUUUCUUACUGCAUUUAGCACUUUAUACUAUGUAUUCUGGUUCUGUAUGUGCAUCCCUUACUUCUUCCAUUAAUCUGAGAGGUCAUAAAAAUUACAUAAUUUGCAUUUACCACAGGGCUUGGCCAUGGACUUGCAUAUCAUUGCUGAGAGAAGUCUCAACAGCAGCUUAAGUACUAUUGAAGACCUCAAGAUGACAAAUUUUCUCCAUCACUUCUAAGGCUGAAUUGUCAUAUCCAAUGUGCUUUAUGACUAUGCUUUGAUUUGUGCUGAUGGAUCUAAGGUGUGCACCUCUGGAGGCUUUGAGGUGGCUAUACUUCAGUUGUGGAUAAAGAGGUGAAGAAGGACAUCUAUGGUGAUGCUCAGUAAUAUCUGCGAAGAACUGUGGAGACAGACAAAUAGUCAAAGGAGAAUACAGAUGACUUUCAGAAGAAGUGUGAACAUCAAGCUGAGGAGCUUUUUUGAAGAGCAGGAUCUUUCUAUCAACAUGGGAUAGUGGAAGAUUAAAGUAGUGAUGACUACAUAUAGAAAUACAAAGUUGAAGUGAGAGACGCAAGUCUGAUACUGCAAAAGAAAAAUGACACAACAAGAAGAUGGUUGUCUACAAGCCAGGAAGAGAACCUUCACAAGGAACCAAAUCAGCGGGCACCGUGAUCACGAGACUCCCAGCCUCCAGAACUGUGAGAAAUAAAUGUCUGCUGUUGAAGCCAUCCAGUCCACAGUAUUUUGUUACAGCAGCCUGAGCAGAUUAAAAUAAAGAAAUGUAACUUGUGAGAUAGACAGAAAGGUAAGAAAGAGAAAAUGCAACAUAAAGUCUAUGCUUAAAGGAGCGCUUAUUAGUAGUUAAGAUGAGCUAGGCAAAAUAUAAAUGGUAGAGAAAUGAAAGAUGACAACACUCAUAACUUGCUCAUUCAUGCAACAGAUACGUGCAGAGUAUCUAUUGAAGGACCCUGCACUGGUACUUAGGAAUCAAACUUAAAUCCCACCUUCAAAUCUGACAGAGAUAAGACAUAGACAGACUGUUUUUUAUUUGGGUAAAUUAUUCAUACCCAUUAAAAGAUCUGUAGAUAAAUGCCUUUGGAUUUCUAAGAGGGGAGAUAUUAUUUUCAACUGGGAGAAACACAGGAAUAUCAUUUUAUGUACUAAGUAGCAUUUGGUGUAGAGCUUAUAGAGAAAUAGAAUGUUCACAUGGAGAGAAUGCUGUAUGGGGAACUCCAGAUGGAAUAAUUGGUAUUAGCUCUGGUCCCAGAGUAGUGACUAUCUUUGCAGGAAACCUCAGGUGUAAUCUUAUGGACCUCUGGAAAGACUGUAACAAAAUAACUAUUUAUGGAGAUGACUGGCAAAGUUAAGGACACGGACAAGGGACAUGAGGGGCCUAGGGACAGGCAACAGUGAGAAGUCACUCCUAGGAAAGAGUGUUCAGGGAGCCAGUGAAGAGUGUAGCCAUGUAGAAAGAAUGGCCUGACAGAGCAUUCAUCCUAGAGGGAUGCAGCUGCUGCAAGAGCCAUGAUGCUGAUGCAGGAGGAGAAGAGGGAGACAGAAGGAGACAGGAAGAGACAGGAGGAAAAGCCUCAGCCUCUCCCUUCCCACUCUCCAACCUCCCUGCUUGAACGCUCACCAGCUGAUCCCAACAAGAAACACAGUCAGUAGGAACAGCUCUGGAGCACAGCUUGAGGUAGAAAAUGGAGCAGGGUAGGGACCAAGUGGAAAAUAAUUGCCAUAGCUACUGAGACAGGAGAGAAGAAAAUGUGUAUAUGAGAAAACAGUUUGUUUUGGCUAGAAUAAAUGAUGCAUGAGGGCAAAAAGCCAGAGUGUGCUUAUAAAAGUAAGUGGUAGCUGAAACUCAUCAGAAUAAUGACAAAAUAAAGGGAAACGAAAAGACGUAUGAAUCUGGUGCUUAACUCAUCAGGGAUGUUUGGCGCCUUUCCUGGAAAUUACAGAUAAAAGCAACAGGAGUGGAGAGAAAUGACAUCAGAACAUAAGAGGUACCACAAAAUAUGAGUUAGUUUUUAGAAAUGUGAAUGUAGCAGUGGCCAAGAAGAGGCAGUAGAGAGAAAGCAGUACUCUGAUUCCUCCAUCUCACUCAAUGAGGUGAACAGGAAGAAUGCCAUUUAUUUUCUCGGACAAAGGCAGCAUAGUCUUUAGACACUUGCUUGGAUCAGGAGGGACAGGCUACUUCCAUGAUUUGGGUCAUUGUGAGGGAAGUAGUUAAGAAAAAAAAAAGAAGGACAGGAGAUAAGGGAACUAUUUGCGGGACUAGUAGAAAGAAGGCAGCAGUGAGAGCAGGGACAGGUGGAACAGAGCUAAAGAGGAAAGAGAGAAGGAAAAGGGAUGGCAGGGGAUGGUGAUUUUUAAUGGCAGGAUCAGAGAGUCACGUUGUCGGAAAGUUGAACAAAUAUAUAUUAGCCCCUGUGGGAAUUCUAGAGAGGAAAACCAGCCAUGAGACCUUUCUAAGUAUAUACUCUUAAGAGAAAUAUUGAUGUAGUAUUCAACCUCAGAGGUUAAGGAAUAGUGGGUUUCAGGAAGGACCUGGAGGGUGGUCAGCUGCACACGUAGAGGUGUGCUGCAGCCAGCUUGUACCAGCUCCUGAGAAUCAAUUGUGCACAUCUCUUUCCAACUCUGGGCUCUGUGGCUUCACAUAAACACCAAAAUAUGUCAUGGUAGGUGUAGUUCUACCCAUAGAAACUGGCAAAUGCUACAGAUGAGGGUUCCCUUCUCACAAAGUCAACUAUCAACCCCAGAGCCUCUUAUUAAACCUUUACCAGCACACCACUGAUCUGCUGCAGCUUCAAUUUGAGGACAGGUUGUUGCAAUGAGCACUGAGGAAGGUGUUGCAUGAGAACAUGUUCAUGAAAGAAGCAGCACCCUCUGCCAAAGAUCACCGGGUGAGUGUGUGCUGAGCAGGUGCAGGCAUGGUCCUCCUUAAAAGACUGGAAUCAGAGGCUGCUCAUUGAUUAGAACUACAUUUUGAUCAAGCUGAGAGAAUUCCAGGUGAUACAACCUGGAAUAAGCUAAGCAAAUAAAAAUAAGUCAUCAACAACCUGUCAGGCAUGCGGAAUUCAGUGAAUAGAAAAUUAACCCAUUCCUCUGAACUAAGCAAUGCUUGAUUUAGCUUCAGUGAGCCUUACAAGUGGAAGCUGGCACUUUCUUCCUGUUUGUUUGUAUCUACUGCAAGAAGUAAAAAUACAUACCACCUACCUGAAGCCUGUCAUGGUACUUGUGUUUCUGUAGGAAUAUUUUCUACAACAUCUUAAGUUACUGCUAGAAAUUGCCAGCAAUUGUGUCUGUGUUUUCCCAUUUUUGAAAGAAAUUAAUACUCUCAAUGCCUUAGAGUUGCUCCUUCCCACCUUCUGAUGCCUUGUCCUGGGCUUAGUGGAUGUAAAUUAAC
rnacentral:lncRNA from 1 species